UAAAGUGCGAUAUGUAAUGCGAUUUGCAUGAAUCUGUGAGUCAUCAAGUCUUUGAACGCAACUUGCACCUCUCGGGUCAACUGAGAGGUAUGUCUGUUUGAGUACCUGAUCACCAUCUUGUCUCUAGUUAGAGGCAGAAUUGAGGUCGCAGCUCGAAAGAGGUGGGCCUUUAAAUAGAGUAAGUUAUAGGUCUUAAAGACCUUGGUUAUGCGCUAGAGGCCAUUCGGUCUUGUCAUAGCUAAGGCUCUUGUAGGCCUCGCUCGUAAGAGCAACAUCUCUUUUGGUCUCAAAUCAGGCAGGACUACCCGCUGAACUUAA
rnacentral:misc_RNA from 1 species